rnacentral:rRNA from 1 species
AUUGAACGCUGGCGGCAUGCCUUACACAUGCAAGUCGAACGGCAGCACGGGGGCAACCCUGGUGGCGAGUGGCGAACGGGUGAGUAACAUAUCGGAACGUGCCCUGGAGUGGGGGAUAACUAGUCGAAAGAUUAGCUAAUACCGCAUACGAUCUACGGAUGAAAGUGGGGGAUCGCAAGACCUCAUGCUCGUGGAGCGGCCGAUAUCUGAUUAGCUAGUUGGUGGGGUAAAGGCCUACCAAGGCAUCGAUCAGUAGCUGGUCUGAGAGGACGACCAGCCACACUGGGACUGAGACACGGCCCAGACUCCUACGGGAGGCAGCAGCGGGGAAUUUUGGACAAUGGGCGCAAGCCUGAUCCAGCAAUGCCGCGUGAGUGAAGAAGGCCUUCGGGUUGUAAAGCUCUUUUGUCAGGGAAGAAACGGUGAGGGCUAAUAUCCCUUGCUAAUGACGGUACCUGAAGAAUAAGCACCGGCUAACUACGUGCCAGCAGCCGCGGUAAUACGUAGGGUGCAAGCGUUAAUCGGAAUUACUGGGCGUAAAGCGUGCGCAGGCGGUUGUGCAAGACCGAUGUGAAAUCCCCGGGCUUAACCUGGGAAUGGCAUUGGUGACUGCACGGCUAGAGUGUGUCAGAGGGGGGUAGAAUUCCACGUGUAGCAGUGAAAUGCGUAGAGAUGUGGAGGAAUACCGAUGGCGAAGGCAGCCCCCUGGGAUAACACUGACGCUCAUGCACGAAAGCGUGGGGAGCAAACAGGAUUAGAUACCCUGGUAGUCCACGCCCUAAACGAUGUCAACUAGUUGUCGGGUCUUAAUUGACUUGGUAACGCAGCUAACGCGUGAAGUUGACCGCCUGGGGAGUACGGUCGCAAGAUUAAAACUCAAAGGAAUUGACGGGGACCCGCACAAGCGGUGGAUGAUGUGGAUUAAUUCGAUGCAACGCGAAAAACCUUACCUACCCUUGACAUGGCAGGAAUCCUUGAGAGAUCAGGGAGUGCUCGAAAGAGAACCUGCACACAGGUGCUGCAUGGCUGUCGUCAGCUCGUGUCGUGAGAUGUUGGGUUAAGUCCCGCAACGAGCGCAACCCUUGUCAUUAGUUGCUACGAAAGGGCACUCUAAUGAGACUGCCGGUGACAAACCGGAGGAAGGUGGGGAUGACGUCAAGUCCUCAUGGCCCUUAUGGGUAGGGCUUCACACGUCAUACAAUGGUACAUACAGAGGGCCGCCAACCCGCGAGGGGGAGCUAAUCCCAGAAAGUGUAUCGUAGUCCGGAUUGCAGUCUGCAACUCGACUGCAUGAAGUUGGAAUCGCUAGUAAUCGCGGAUCAGCAUGUCGCGGUGAAUACGUUCCCGGGUCUUGUACACACCGCCCGUCACACCAUGGGAGCGGGUUUUACCAGAAGUAGGUAGCUUAACCGCAAGGAGGGCGCUUACCACGGUAGGAUUCGUGACUGGGGUG